UAAACUAGGAUUAGAUACCCUAUUAUUUCAUGUGUUAAGAUUUAACCUAGGUAGUAUUAGUUAUUUUCUUUAAACCUAAAGAAUUUGGCGGUAUUUUAGUCUUUUCAGAGGAACUUGUCCUGUUAUCGAUAUUCCUCGUUAUAUCUUUCUUAAUUUGGUUUAAUCAGUAUGUAUAUCGCCGUUAUAAGUUUAUUUUUAUAGAAUUUUAAUUUGCUAUUUAUUUUAUUUGAUUUUAUUUCAGGUCAAGGUGCAGUUUAUAGUUAAGUAGAGAUGAGUUACAAUAUUAUUUGAAUAUAUGGAUUUUUACAUUAAAUUUGUUUAAUGAAGGUGGAUUUGAUAGUAAUUUUGAUUAUAAAGUCGGGUUGAUAUUAGCUCUAAAAUAAGUACACAUCG
rnacentral:rRNA from 1 species